rnacentral:lncRNA from 1 species
AUCACUCACAAUCGAAGACUUGCCAUUUGAAACCGGGUCUCUUAGUGGUUUGCGCGUUUUGCGUUACACUAGCAUCCAAGGUCCAAAAGACGCUUUCGUCAGCUGUAAUGGCAUUUCCGAAGGCAUGUCUGACGCAACAUGAGUUAGAGAACAAAGAACCUUAUCAGUGUCAGAAGCAGCAGUAGUGGACAUGGGACAUGAGUCUUUCCUAUGACCAAACUUACCACACUAAAAAUAAAUCAAUUGUAGCCCAUUAUAUUC